rnacentral:lncRNA from 1 species
GAAUCCCUGUGAGUCUGACGGCCACGGCCUCACCCAGGCCGUUCUUCCCUGCAGCAUCCCCAGGCCCCCUGCGGGCAGGGACGGAGGGCUGACUCCGCUCCCGAGAGCCAGGAGGCUACAGGUUCUGGUCUUGGGAUUGCUGCCCAUCCUGAGGGUGAAGAGAAGCCCCUGGACAGAGGAUUGGAACCUUGUUCCCAGCAGGCUCAGACACCAGUGAGGUCCAGCCAAGGUCCCCAUAGCAAUAGGCGUGCUGGAGCUCUGGGUGCUGGCCACCAACUUCAGAGACUAUGCCAUCAUCUUCACUCAGCUGGAGUUCGGGGACGAGCCCUUCAACACCGUGGAGCUGUACAGUCUGACGGAGACAGCCAGCCAGGAGGCCAUGGGGCUCUUCACCAAGUGGAGCAGGAGCCUGGGCUUCCUGUCACAGUAGCAGGCCCAGCUGCAGAAGGACCUCACCUGUGCUCACAAGAUCCUUCUGUGAGUGCUGCGUCCCCAGUAGGGAUGGCGCCCACAGGGUCCUGUGACCUCGGCCAGUGUCCACCC